GUUUCCAUGGUAACCAGUGAGCAAUUGACAAUGUGGCUGCAGUUGGGCCUCCUUGAAGGGGAAAAAUCUUCAACAGGAACCAGGCCACUGAGAGAUGGAAGAAAGGACAGCUCAUACCCAAACCUCACGAGGAGGCUACAGGAAUCACUGGACAGUUCCUUUAUUGGGAAAGCCCCCAGUGACUUUCCAAUGAAAUGGAUAGAGAAGGGAAAAGAGACCCUUCGGAAUCAGAUGAGUCCAUGAACUGGCAGCAGUCAGGGCAGUGAUGACAUCACAGAAGGAGGAUGGGCCUUAGACAGACAUCACUCUUUAGAAUCCCUGCAACUUUGAGCAAGUUCGUGAAUCUCACUAAGGCUCAGUUUCCUCCAUAAAAUUAAUCAAUAUCAGGGCCUCUGCAUUGGACAACUCCAGAGGGCACCAUUGGGGUUAUACCUUGUGUUUGCCUAACCUUCAUUGCAGUGGGCAGGUGCAUGCUUUCUACAAUGUCCUAAGGUCUAAAGGGGUAGAGUUCUGUGUGUGGCAUUUUAGGCCUGGAAAGGAUGAGAGUCUACAAAACCAGAGAAAUACUGCAGCAAAUGGUCAAACCCAGGAGGGAAUGGUAUGAACCUCUGGUUUACAGCCAUUGGUAAGAAGCACACAUGACAACCUGGACUUUCCAUCAACAUUUGAAGCGGGAGCAGUCUUGUGGGAUCAAGCUCUUAACCUGUGGGGUCUGCUACUAACUCUGAAUCCAAUGAACACAUGGACCCAACACUCCUUUGGCCAAGUUGAUGAUUCUCCACCAUUUAUUUGCCUGCCUCACUAUACACUUCUAGCAAGCCACUGCAAGGCUGCAUUGCAGCUAAGAGGAAGCCCUCCUUGAAGGCUGCACAGCAAGGAGUGUUGGCAGAGUAGCUGGGUUUCCACUGGGAGAGCACGAGUCAGCAUCAUGCUGGGCUCAAGCAUGGAUAUGCACUGCUGCUGCCAGAGCAUCAUAAUUUGCAAGCAUUUAUCGAGUACCCUUCAUCUAAUUUUCAUCCUGCGGAAACUAGAAAUUGCUACACUUGCACACAAUAAACUUCUGGCAGUUAGCCUUCUAAACUGGGACACUACCAUUUGGGAGGGAAAAGACCUUUCUGGUGGUUAAAGAUGGGGCUUCCAGUUACUGCAUUUGUUUUAAUACAGUCUAUUCCAUAGAGCCAUCGAUGGAGACUCAUUAUAUAACCUUUCGUGGAAAGCUUCUGACUUCUUUCUCAAUGCACAGUGCUUCACGUGACUUUUGAGUUAUAGCUGACUGCCCUAGCUCACAUUUUAGUGCCAGAAGAUCCCAGACCACCACCCAUGAUCCCAGGCUGGAGGAAGCAGCAGGCUAGCGGAAUUCAGGACCAAUGAGCCAGGAAAGAGGACCCAAUGCAGAGCUCACAUCCCACCCUCCUUCCCCCAUGACAAAGCACUGGCAAACCCUGCCAAAGAAGAAGCUUGGCUGCAAAGCAGUCUGGAACUGGACCCGGGAUAGAUUCACCAGGAGCUCACCACCACAGGGAAUGCUGCACUUUGACUGGACAGAAUGCAUCCUCCAUGCCCACAGAGCAUGUGCCCAGGAUGAAUCUCACUGUAUCCCAGUUCCUCAUGCUUGGCCCCAAACCUCUUUUUCACAGUAAUAAAGAAAACACACUUUACAAAAAG
rnacentral:lncRNA from 1 species